GCAUCAAUGGGGUAGUGGUAACCUGGGUCGUUGCCAGUUGAGAUUCUUCUGAACGAUUCGACCCGCCGGGGGUUCGAUUCCCCCUUGAUGCA